rfam:Pseudobutyrivibrio ruminis strain ACV-9 genome assembly, contig: IE77DRAFT_scaffold00006.6
UCUAACCUGGGAUGUACGAUUUAACUUAUCCUUUUUGAACCUACAUUUACUUUAAACGGAAUGCCUAUAUUUCUAAUUGGCUGUCAGGCCUUCAUUGCGCAGAGGAAGACAAAAAAUUAGUUGCGGCGAUCCACCUAGCUAGAGCUAGGAGUCAAUUGAUAGGCCCGGCACUCUGGGUUAGAU